rnacentral:rRNA from 1 species
CGGCGAGUGAAGCGGCAAGAGCUCAGAUUUGAAAUCGUGUUUCGGCACGAGUUGUAGAGUGUAGGCGGGAGUCUCUGUGGAGCGCGGUGUCCAAGUCCCUUGGAACAGGGUGCCUGAGAGGGUGAGAGCCCCGUAGGGUGCUGCGCGAAGCUUUUGAGGCCCUGCUGACGAGUCGAGUUGUUUGGGAAUGCAGCUCCAAGCGGGUGGUAAAUUCCAUCUAAGGCUAAAUAUUGGCGAGAGACCGAUAGCGAACAAGUACUGUGAAGGAAAGAUGAAAAGCACUUUGAAAAGAGAGUGAAACAGCACGUGAAAUUGUUGAAAGGGAAGGGUAUUGGGCUCGACAUGGGGGGUGCGCACCGCUGUCUCUUGUAGGCGGCGCUCUGGGCGCCCUCUGGGCCAGCAUCGGUUCCUGCUGCGGGAGAAGGGGCUCCGGAAAGUGGCUCUUCGGAGUGUUAUAGCCGGGGCCAGAUGCCGCGUGUGGGGACCGAGGACUGCGGCUUCUGUCUCGGAUGCUGGCAUAACGGCGCAAUACCGCCCGUCUUG